rnacentral:lncRNA from 1 species
AUUGUAUUGAAAUAAUACUCUCAUGUGAUCAAAGUUACUGAAAUAUUUCAUAAGAAGCAUAUAUAUAUAUAUUGAAUAAGUGUCGAACAAAAAUACAGUCUAAAAGUAAACCUUAUUAAAACAGAUUCAGCUUUAGAACAAAUAGAACUCAUUAUCUGUCUGUUUCAGUAUAUGGAAAUUCUAAUAAUGUCAUGACCCUGAUGGAAGAAGAUAGAAAAUGCUAUAAUAGAGAUUUUUCUUCCCACUCACCUCAGGUUAGGAAGGGAUUUUAAUUAUUUCUACACCAAUCCAUUAAUUAUUCACAAACUCGAUGAUCUGAGUGCUAUCUCCAUUCUGUCAGAGUAGAGUUUCAGGCUUCCCUAGGCUUUUGCUGGGUAUAGGUUGUUAAAAUGCAGUCAAUUUAGUCUUUUGUAGAAGUUUCUCGACACUUUUCUCGAGGUCUUCUAUGACUGCAUAGAAAUCUUUGUUUCCACAGAUGAAUUCCAAAUGUGAGAGAAAAUAAUUUGGAAAAAUGUAAUUAUGUUUUAUUUCAGAUCCAAUAUCAACAAUGGAACACAACUUACACAAAAAGCUUAAUUUCCACUGGGUUGGUUCAUGUAUGACUCACUUGUAUGAUUUUUAAGAAUCUUCUACUUUAAAAUCUAUCAUAAUAGUUAACAAAAUUGAAAAUCAAGAAUAUGAAUCAGAUGUAUUGCAGUAACUGAAUUCUCAACAGGUUUUAUUUUUAUUAUACCACACUGUGUAGAUGCAGUGACAGAAACAUAGAUUUAAAGUAAAUAGCUCAUUUUCUUUGUAUUGAAAAUGCCUUAAAGAUAAUAUUGUUAUCAGAUUAAUUCUGUUUACACAUCUGAAUCUAUUUCUGGAUAAUAUGAUCAGAAUUAAUUACAAAAAGACAACCAGAGUGGACCACAAUGCUAUGAGUUUAUCACUUCAGUCCUCUAUAUGUUCCUGUUUUCAUUUUUUUUAGUACAUACUUUCUUAAUACAUGGUACAGAACUCUUAUUAAGUGUUCUAUUUUAGAUUACCU